rnacentral:rRNA from 1 species
GAUGAACGCUGGCGGCGUGCCUAAUACAUGCAAGUCGAGCGAACUGAUUAGAAGCUUGCUUCUAUGACGUUAGCGGCGGACGGGUGAGUAACACGUGGGCAACCUGCCUGUAAGACUGGGAUAACUUCGGGAAACCGAAGCUAAUACCGGAUAGGAUCUUCUCCUUCAUGGGAGAUGAUUGAAAGAUGGUUUCGGCUAUCACUUACAGAUGGGCCCGCGGUGCAUUAGCUAGUUGGUGAGGUAACGGCUCACCAAGGCAACGAUGCAUAGCCGACCUGAGAGGGUGAUCGGCCACACUGGGACUGAGACACGGCCCAGACUCCUACGGGAGGCAGCAGUAGGGAAUCUUCCGCAAUGGACGAAAGUCUGACGGAGCAACGCCGCGUGAGUGAUGAAGGCUUUCGGGUCGUAAAACUCUGUUGUUAGCGAAGAACAAGUACGAGAGUAACUGCUCGUACCUUGACGGUACCUAACCAGAAAGCCACGGCUAACUACGUGCCAGCAGCCGCAGUAAGAC